rfam:Candidatus Beckwithbacteria bacterium RIFCSPLOWO2_02_FTLL_47_23 rifcsplowo2_02_scaffold_13211, whole genome shotgun sequence.
GGGCAAGUGGCGGAACCGGUAGACGCGCAACGUUCAGGACGUUGUGAGCUUUACGCUCUUGGAGGUUCAACUCCUCUCUUGCCCA